UACGUAGGGGGCAAGUGUGGUCCGGAUUUAUUGGGCGUAAAGAGCGUGUAGGCGGCCAGGUAGGUCUGCUGUGAAAACUCGAGGCUUAACCUCGAGCUGUCGGCGGAAACCAUCUGGCUAGAGUCCGGAAGAGGAGAAUGGAAUUCCCGGUGUAGCGGUGAAAUGCGCAGAUAUCGGGAAGAACACCCGUGGCGAAGGCGGUUCUCUGGGACGGUACUGACGCUGAGACGCGAAAGCGUGGGGAGCGAACAGG
rnacentral:rRNA from 1 species